UACAGUUCUUUUCCCCUUCCUAGCAGCCAGAGCUUGAGGCGUGGGGUACAAAGUCACUGCUCAGCUGAGCGGUUGGGCGCAGGGGUUUUCUUCUCCCAGCUCGGUGACCUUGUGGUACUGGUUUGGUGGCGCCUCAGCUAGGGUGGUGCAGGGCACAGCACGGGUUCACCUGAGCUACCAGGCUGGGAGGAGGCGGAGCUCUGGGACGAUCAGACCCACCCUAGAGGAGCAGCACUCACCUUUAGGUGAGCAAGGAGACAUGUGCCAGAAGAGCACCAUCCCUGCCUCACCUGAGAGCAGACCUGUGCCAGAGGAGCAGUGUCUGACCCUACAUGAGCAAGCACACCUGCUCCAGAGGAGUGGCUCUCACCAGCAGGGGAGCAAGAAGUCCUGUAUUGGUCAAGCAGCACCCCUCCCUGGGGGAGCAUGUCACAAGGAAUCAGGAGGCAAGGAACAACCAACCAACCUGAUCCUGGACAGCACAAUACCAGAGAGAGAAGGGAACCACCAGAUUCUCUGACAAAGGACAUUAAAUCUAACAGCCCACAUGAACCCCUGGCCUGUGGCCUAUACCUGGCAGAGACAAGUGGGCUGAAAACUAGUAUGGAGAUUCCUCACAAAACUGAAACUAGAAAUUCUACUUGAUCCAGCUAUUCCCCUUCCAAAUAUCUUCACAAAAGAGUUAAAGACAUUACAGUGAUCCAUGCAGACCCAUGUAUAUAGCAACACAAUUCAUAAUAGCUAAACAUUGGAAGCAGCCCAUAUGUCCAUCAACAGAAGAAUAGAUAAAUUAAGUGUGGUUUUUAAACACAAUUGAGUACUACUCUACCAUAAGGAAUGAUAAACUUGAGUCAUUUGUAAAAAGAAAUUAAAGCAUCUUGAGACCAUAAUGUUCAGUGAAAUAAAUCAGACACAUAAGCUUAAAUAUCACAUGGAGGUUUUUUUUGUAUGAGAAACCCAAAGUAUAGAUAAAGAGCAAAAUAAAGAUAGAUGAUAGGAAGAAGAGGGAUAAAUCUUUCUAAACAGGGAAAAGAUCAAAAGGUGGAGAGGGUGGGGGUGGGAGGAGAGGGAAAGGGGAUGAUACAAAGGAAGUGUAAGAUGUGUUAUGUACCCGUACCAAUUGCUCCCCAGGUCUGUAAACUUUAUGUAUUACCAACAUGUACUAAUGAAAAUAAAUAAUAAACCAAAGGUAAAUACAAACCUUGAGACCCAUUCUGGAAAGAGCAGGCUGAUGUGGGUGAGAGAACAGAGAUGGAAAGAAAAAAAACUAACCAAAG
rnacentral:lncRNA from 1 species